rnacentral:rRNA from 1 species
UACGUAGGGAGCAAGCGUUGUCCGGAAUCAUUGGGCGUAAAGCGCGCGUAGGCGGCCCCGUAAGUCCGCUGUGAAAGUCAAAGGCUCAACCUUUGAAAGCCGGUGGAUACUGUGGGGCUAGAGUCCGGAAGAGGCGAGUGGAAUUCCUGGUGUAGCGGCGGAAUGCGCAGAUAUCAGGAGGAACACCAAUAGCGAAGGCAGCUCGCUGGGACGGUACUGACGCUGAGACGCGAAAGCGUGGGGAGCAAACAGG